rnacentral:sRNA from 1 species
CGGUGGCAGUGAGCUGAGAUCACACCACUACACUCCAGCCUGGGCAACCAGAGCGAGACCCUGUCUCAAAAAAAAAAAAAAGAAUAAAAAAAUUUAGAUGUUGUGUGUUAUAUUUUAUUUUAUACAUGAUUGUUCUGAUACUAAAUUUCACUAAUAUGGAAGAAAAGCAUGUGUUCUGCACUGAAGAACAGUGUACAAAAGAAUUUAAGAAACUACCUGCUGAAUAAAUCGAGCUACAUUUAAAGUGUAUAAUUUUAAAAUUAAAAAUUUUCUCAUUUUAAUGUUAACUUUUUAGCUCUGCAAGAUUUGAAGGGUCCCUUAAUAUGGACCUUAAUGAAAUCAGCAUGAAUUUAGUUCCUUUUCCUCAACUUCAUUAUCUCGUGUCAAGCCUAACACCUCUGUAUACACUGACAGAUGUUAACAUUCCUCCUAGAAGAUUGGAUCAGAUGUUUUCAGAUGCCUUUAGUAAAGAUCACCAGCUGCUUCGGGCAGACCCCAAACACAGUCUUUACCUCGCCUGUGCACUCAUGGUUAGAGGAAAUGUACAAAUUUC